rnacentral:rRNA from 1 species
GAGGGGUAAUCCCGCCUUCGGGCGGGAACGACCGGCGAACGGGUGCGUAACGCGUAUGCAAUCUGCCCACUGCUGGGGGAUAGCCCGAAGAAAUUUGGAUUAACCCCCCAUGGUACGGCGACUCCGCAUGGGGUUGUCGUUAAAGUUUACGGCAGUGGAUGAGCAUGCGUCCCAUUAGCUAGUUGGUGAGGUAACGGCUCACCAAGGCUGCGAUGGGUAGGGGUCCUGAGAGGGAGAUCCCCCACACUGGUACUGAGACACGGACCAGACUCCUACGGGAGGCAGCAGUGAGGAAUAUUGGACAAUGGGGGCAACCCUGAUCCAGCCAUGCCGCGUGCAGGAAGACGGCCCUACGGGUUGUAAACUGCUUUUGUACGGGAAGAACUCCCCGCUCGUGAGCGGGGCUGACGGUACCGUAAGAAUAAGCACCGGCUAACUCCGUGCCAGCAGCCGCGGUAAUACGGAGGGUGCAAGCGUUAUCCGGAAUCAUUGGGUUUAAAGGGUCCGCAGGCUGGGCGGUAAGUCAGUGGUGAAAUGCAGGGGCUCAACCCCGGCACUGCCAUUGAUACUGCCGUUCUUGAAUCGUCGUGAAGUGGCCGGAAUAUGUAGUGUAGCGGUGAAAUGCUUAGAUAUUACAUAGAACACCUAUUGCGAAGGCAGGUCACUAACGGCGUAUUGACGCUGAGGGACGAAAGCGUGGGUAGCGAACAGGAUUAGAUACCCUGGUAGUCCACGCCGUAAACGAUGGUUACUAGCUGUCCG